AACAGGAUUCACGCACACGUCCGAUCUUGUGUCACGUUUGUGUACGGAGCAGCGAUGCAUAGUCGUCUCUUCAAACGUGCUGACAGCUCCGAGACAAUAACAGCAUGCUACACAUGCAACUACCUCCACCGGGGUAUUUAUAUCUCUGCUGCCGACUCCCGUCAUCCUGAUAUUAGCAGCAUGGAUUACUGAACGGGCCCUGGGGGCCUCGUGCACAAUAAACACAACUACUACAAAACAAACACAAAGUUUGACAAAACGAACCAACAAAAUACCAAGAAAAAAAAAAACAGAACAACAAAACAACAUUAAAAAACACAAAAAAACACAAAAUAGCCAAAGAACUACAUUAAGGAGACUCAAACCUCAAAACGAUAACAAAAAGACCACAACACCACCAAGCAAACAACCAUAAUACGUCUCUUUGUGUGUAUUUUGUUUUUCUUUAUGCUCAUUUUUGUGUCUCUUUGUUUUUGUGUGUCCUUUUCAGUCUUAGGGUCUUUCUCUUAUGAAGGAGGGAUAAAGGGAGGGCGGGGGUGGCUUCCUCAUGUCUGUGCCCCGGGGCCCAUUGUCUAAUCCAGCUUCGGUUAGUGGACUCUGCAGCAGGAAGUGGGAUUCAUGCUCAUUAGUGACGGGUGUGAUGGGAGUGCAAUGAUAUUGUAAUUACAUGGUAAUUACAAUAUCAUUGAUAUCCGAGCAAACAAAAGAAAGUGGCCCAGGUCCUCGGGCAGAUGGGGGGAGGGGGGGGGUGAUCAUCACACAAUCAGCCACAAGAUCUUUCCUCCACUCAAGGGUUACUGUCCACCGUCUCUUCACUUCCUUUGCUUGACGGCCUCAUCUUACAGUAUCCAGUGUACCAGUAGCCCGUAUACCAGUGUACCAGUAACGUGUGUACCAGUGUAGCCUGAAUACCAGUGUACCAGUAGCCUGUGUACCAGUAGCCUGUAUACCAGCGUAGCCUGUAUACCAGAGUACCAGUAGCCUGUGUACCAGUAGCCUGUAUACCAGUGUAGCCUGUAUACCAGCGUAGCCUGUAUACCAGAGUACCAGUAGCCCGUGUACCAGUAUAGCCUGUAUACCAGUGUAGCCUGUAUACCAGCGUAGUCUGUAUACCAGCGUAGCCUGUAUACCAGAGUACCAGUAGCCCGUGUACCAGUAGCCUGUAUACCCGUGUAGCCUGUAUACCAGCGUAGCCUGUAUACCAGAGUACCAGUAGCCCGUGUACCAGUGUACCAGUAGGCUGUAUACCAGUGUAGCAUGUGUACUAGCCGACCAGUGUAGCCUGUAUACCAGUGUACCAUUGUACCAGUAGGCUGUAUACCAGUGUAGCCUGUGUACUAGUCUACCAGUAGCCUGUAAACCAGUGUAGCCUGUGUACCAGUGUACCAGUGUAGCCUGUAUACCACUGUACCAGUAGCCUGUGUACCUGUAGCCUGUGUACCAGUAGCCUGUGUACCACUGUACCAGUAGCCUAGGUGCCUGUGUACCAGUAGCCACGAUCUAUGGAGACCUGCGAAGCACAAAAAACUGUUAAAUGGGCUGACUGUCAUUAUACAUUGUGUUAUAUUGUAUUGUAUUACAUUAUAUUACAUUGUGUUGUAUUACUUUGUAUUAUUUUAUCAAAUACUAUAACUUAAUAUUACAGUUUACUGUAUUAAUUUACAUUAUAUCAUUUUAUAUCAUACUAUGCAGUAUGAUAUAAUAUUAUUAUUGGAGCCAUUGAAAAUAUAUUAAUAACUCCAUGACUAAUAAUAACAGAGCAGAAAUGUUUUAUUGAUCAGGUCUAUGAUCUGCUUAUUGACGGAGGUAUUGAUCAGGUUUAUGAUCUGUGUAUUGACGGAGGUAUUGAUCAGGUUUAUGAUCUGUGUAUUGAUGGAGAUAUUGAUCAGGUCUAUGAUCUGCUUAUUGGCGGAGGUAUUGAUCAGGUUUAUGAUCUGUGUAUUGAUGGAGAUAUUGAUCAGGUCUAUAAUCUGCGUAUUGACGGAGGUAUUGCUCAGCUGCUCUCACCUCUGGGGGGACAUUUGUUCCUGGCAGACGGACCCAUUGUUGCUGUCUCGCUUUCGCAAUCAGGGACACAUGAACCUGGUGUCUGAGAUGCUGUCCCAGUCCAUCUCUCAGGACGUGUUGGGGUAGAGAGGGUGCGCCGGGAACCGCAAGGUUGGGGGUUUGAGCCCCAGCUGCUUCAUGUCCCAUGUCAAAGUGUCCCUGAGCAAGACACCUAACCCCUAAUUGCUCCCCGGGCAAAAAUGUAGAAAGCCAUGGGUUAAAAAUGCGAUGUAAGUCACUUUGGAUAAAAGCGUCAGCUAAAUUACCUGUAAUGUAAUACAUCUAAUGGUUGUGAUUCAGACUGAAAACAUCAGUGUUUAUUUGAUUUUGUUGUCAUAAUUACACUAAAUAUGAGGAUUUAAAUCAGCAGAGAGAAUUCAGUUCAGACCUCUAACUCCUUCUUCCAGCCCCCCCUGUGUACUUAUGCUCUGUUUGAACACUCUGAUUCUGGAGAUCGACAUGUGAUGAGGUCAUUAACCGGGCGGAUUAUCCUGGGGGGGGGGCUUUAGACCUCAUUAUCUAGCCGAGAGCUCAAUUAUCCUACUGUGUAAUUGGACGACUUUUUUUCUUUGUCAUCCAUGCCUUUGGCGGCGUCACGGUGGUGUGGUGGUUUGCACUGUUGCCUCACAGCAAGAAGGUCCUGGGUUCGAUUCCGCCCAGUGGCCUUUCUGUGUGGAGUCUGCAUGUUCUCCCCGUGUCUGCGUGGGUUCUCUCCGGGUUCUCCGGGUUCCUCCCACAGUCCAAAGACAUGCUCUGGGGAUCAGGUCAAUUGGGGACUCUAAAUUGUGUAUGAAUGUGAGUGUGAAUGGUUGUGUGUCUCUGUAUAGCCCUGCGAUUGGCUGGUGACCAAUCCAGGGUGUACCCCGUCUCUCGCCCGAAGUUGGCUGGGAUGGACUCCAGCCGCCCCGUGACCCUGUGUGCAGGAUAAGCGGUUUGACGAUGGAUGGAUGGAUGGAUGGAUGGAUCCAUGCCUUUGAGGUGACACUUUUUCACAAUAUAUUUAGAUUAGUGCUCAUAUUUCAGUCCAUAUAAAACAAUGAUUGAUUUCAGAAAAUAUUUUGUUUUGUCUUUACAUGUAUAGUUCAUAAACUUAUAUUUCAUUAAAUUGCAUCAACAGAGGAUUAUGGGUAAUGUAGUCCAGGUCAUCUUUACUAUAGGGUCAAAACAGUAGCUGUAUCUAGUCGGGUGCAUCCUUGAAGGACCCCUCUGGUCUGGCCGGGUCCUUCAAGGACCACAUAGGGUGAACGAAGCGGUCCCUGAAAUGGCGGCCUGUCCUACGGUCCAGCUUUUCUGCCGCUCCCGCUGCCUAGCAACCUGCGCCUGACCGUAAAAACCUUAAAACCUGAAAAAUGUAUAAAAUGCAGACAGAGAAAGUUAUCUUCUAUCUAUUUCAUUUAAUUUAAGAUAUACUUCACCUCCGGAGCAUGACAUAUUUCAGACUGAGAGAAGAACAUUUUUUUUAUUUUAAAUUCAAAUUAAAUCAGUGAAGCCAUGAACUUUGAGUUAAAAGAAAAAUCAAUCAAUACAGUCUAUAAAAACCACAGCAGCAAACACAUUCGUUAACUUGUAUGCAAAUUAUUAUUUUUCUUCUGAUUGUGUUCAUACUGCAUCAUAAUUUAUUAUCAUUCUUAAUCAAUGAUUAAUAUAUCAUUAUUAGUAUAUUAUAUACAAUAUACAAUUGACAAUGUUAAAGGCCAUAUAAUCAAAUCUAUUGGAAGAGUGAGUCAACGUGAUCGCUGUAAUCAGAGAUGUCCUCCCCUUUAAUCAGGAGGGGAAAGACGAUAAGAGACGCAGUAAACAGGGUGUGUAUCUCUUUAAGGGUUUAAGAGCUUUACGAAACGUGUAAUAUAUGGGGAAAUAAACAGGGUGUGUGGUGGUUCUACUGGAGAGCCUUAGUUCCUCAGACUCAGUUCCUCUCAUCAAGGGGUUCUGAUGAGAACCUUCAGAUUCUUCCAGCCUUCACAGUGUUCUGUUGGAAACCUUCAGACUCAGUUUCUUUCUUCACUUUACAUUACAUUACAUAGAAGAGGGUCUUAUCUUUCAAAGUGUCUCAUACAAGGUGUCCUGUUUCAUAAACGUCUCUCUUAAGAGGUGUGCUGUCUUUCAAAGUGUCUCAUACGAGGUGUCAUGUCUUAUAAACGUCUCAUAAGAAGUUUCCUAUCUUAUAAACGUCUCAUACGAGGUGUCCUGUUUUAUAAACGUCUCAUACAAGGUUUUCUGUCUCUUAAAGCAUGUCAUACGAGGUGUCCUGUCUUAUAAAGCGUCUCAUAGGAGGGGACAUGUCUUUCAAAGUGUCAUACGAGGUGGCCUCAUUUUUUCCUGACGUCCCUCUUUAGAAUCUAUGACAGGUUGAAAGUGCACAGAGACAGGGACAUUGAGGAGGAGACAUGUUGGCACGAAAAUAAAUAGCACUUGUCUGUCCUCUUUUCUUGCUGUGGAAUCAAACUGUGAACUUUGGGGACUUUUUUCCUCAGAGAAGACAAUUCAUUGGGGAGCAUUUUAAAGAUUUCCAAGUUUAAUCGCCUCCAUUUUGAAGUGUCUGUCUCUUAAUUGACGCCCGUGUCUCCCUUCACUCGCUUCUCGCUGGUCCCCCAGAGACCCGCAUCAAACAUCCAUUUGACAGACUCAGCUUUAAAUAAAACGCUAGUUUAAGAGAAAUAACCCGCCAACUUCAUCUCAAAACUUGAAAGGACGAAUAGUUUUGCGGCGACGAAGAAGUGAGUUGAGAUCUGAUCUCUCUCGUGAUCUCAGAGAUUCAUCUCACAUGAGCCAAGGAUCCAUCUCUGAGAAACAUUUAGAAUGUCUCACUUAACUUCCCGAGGACGGGUGGUUACUUCUACACCCUAUGAAGACAUUUGGAGACAAUAGGGGAACAUCUGAGUAAAAAUGAGACAAGAAGAGCACAAUAGGAGACAAUGAGAGAUAACAGGAGCCGAUAAGAGACAAAAGGAGACCCACAUUUAGCUAUAUACUGUCCAUAUAUACACACACAUUCAGCUAUGUACUGUCUAUGUCUCAGAUCGUGGUGCACAUGUUUGAUCCCGUUCAGUUUAUCUGUCCUUGGGUCUGUGGAGACGGUCCAAAACUCCUCAUAGUGUUUCCACUAGUGAACUCUGAGCUGAUUGCAGGUCAUGAUAGAGGUCAUCGUGAUUAGAGACGGAGGGACAGACGGAGGGAAGCGUGGGAGCGUAUGGCAGAUCCUGAUCCCCAGUCAGCUGUCUGCUACUGAUGGACAUCACACGAGUCCCGAGUCCUGACCUCAGCUGACCCAGGCUCAGUUGUGUUUAUGUAAGUUGAUCAUUCUAAUGGUAGAGGUUAAUUCAAGGUUAAAAAUAACAGGGAUUAUUUUGUCUUAAAGGACUGCUUGUUCCCAGCUGUUGCUCUGGAACAUCUGGACAUCCCCCAGGAUAACAAGUGGACGGCUGUGAAGACGAGUCCACAACCACCUGGUGGUCUUUUAUCUUUUAUUGCGUGAACUACGUCACUACGAAGACUUCCUCUAGAGCAGCGGUCCUCAACCUUUUUGGCCUUACGGACCGGUUUCAUGUUAGACAAUAUUUUGCGGAAGGUCUUGAAGGUGUGGCUGAUAAACACAACUAAAUAACAGGUCGACGGGGGGAGGAGGGGGGGUAGUUGUUGCGGCCUACGAGGAUCAGGUGGGGGAGGAGGAGUAGUAGUUGUUGCACAGCAAAAAACAGCUUGUGGGAGGCUUUGGAAUUGGAAUUGGCAUUGGAAGAGAAUCCCGCAUUUAUAUGGCUUCUUUCUGCUUUUAGGUCUUCUUCAACACAGCAGGAUGUUUAUUUAGUAAAUUAUGGUCCAUUUAGAGUCAAACAGAACAUAAAGCAGGGGAUGCUUUAGGGCGGAGCUACACGCUGAUUGAGAGGUCUCUACCAGAGGCUACAAAACGUCCACAAUCCGACGAGUCUCUCAUGAGAACUACGUCACUUUGUACACAGAGAGGAAAACCCAGAUAGAAACAUGAACUCUUUGUGUCUUCACAACUCACCAAACUGCUGUUUGUGGAGGGUUCUGUCCCCAACCGAGCUGUACCUCUCAACACCAAGGCUCUGGAGUACCGUGUGUUCUCUACUGGUCGGUCCACUAAGGUUACGUUGGACCUCACGUUGGCAUGUGUGUAACGCCGUGGUCGAAACGCAGGGGUCCCCACACUUUUUCGGCUUGCAAGCUACUUUUCACU
ensembl:lncRNA